UUUCUCCAUGUUGAAGUAGUGCUCCUUUGAUGUAGGAAGCACUUUCUAUUUCAUGUUGUUAGUUGAGGAGAGUGUUCCUCCAUGUUGAAGUAGUGCUCCUUUAAUGUAGGAAGCAGUUAUACUUCCUUUCUGUAUUUAAGCAAUAACAUUAAUGAAGAGUACAAGCUUCCAAAAUCAAUUAAGUCUUGAGCGCUUUAAGUCUCAGAGGUUCUAGGCUCCCUCUUUUAGAGCCUGAAUUGUUAAUGACUAGAAGUCGUAAAAAGACUCUUAACCCAAACACUCAAACUCCUGCCAUACCCUUAACCCACCGACCCAUAACUAGAUCCACAAUCCGGGACCAUAACAGUUUGGUAUCAGAGCCAGGAGUUAUGGGGGACUCUGUUCAAUAUCAACUCGCCAAGCUCUUUGAAUUGUUGUUGGCUGAGCAGCAAGCAAACAAAGACCGAAAUGAGAAAGUUGAGCAAUUGCACGCCAAAUUGAAUGCAAUGUCUUAAGAAUUGGAAUUGACUAAGAAAGGGUUGCAAUCUAGCAGCACUGGCAGUCAAGCAAAAUCAAGGUGAGAUAAGGGAAUUUCGGGUGCUUCGGUUUUUGAAAGUUCGGGAGGAAGUUCGGUAGUACCGAAAUUCACAAAGCUUGAUUUUCCACGUUAUGAUGGGCUGGAAGACCCUUUGGGGUGGCUUGCCCGAUGCCAGCAUUUUUUUAGGCACCAACAAACACCCGAAGAGGAGAAGGUGAGUUUAGCUUCGUACCAUUUGGAGGGAAUUGCUCAGCUAUGGUAUAUGCAGCUGCUGGAUGACAUUCCAGAUCCCAAUUGGGAUGAGUUUACACAUCAGUGUAAUCUUCGUUUUGGACCUCCAAUCCGCAACAACAAAUUAAGCGAAUUGGCGAAGCUAAAGCAAACUGGUUCUGUUGCAGAAUAUCAGAACCGUUUCGAAGCCUUGGUGUCACGCGCUGGCACCCUCACGCAGGAUCAAAAGGUCCAGUUGUACCUCAGUGGAUUGCAGGACUCCAUUGCUGUUGAAGUCGAGCUGCAUCAUCCAAAAGAUUUGGUGAAUGCAAUGAGCAUCUCCCGGCUGUAUGAACGGAAACUUUUCCUAAGUUCUCCGGCUGUGAGAGACACUCGUUGCUAUGCCUUCACAUCUGCACCUUGUGCCAACAAAUUGGUGAAGCGACUGAACCGUGAGGAGAUGGAAGAAAGACGGAAAAAAGGACUGUGUUUUAACUGUGAUGAACAGUUUGUUCGCGGCCACCAAUGUAAAAAGCUUUUCUGGAUAGACUUGGAGAUCGAAAAAAUAAAGGACAAAUUCUGAUCCGGAGCUAGAACAACUAGAGUUUUCAUUGAACGCCAUCACUGGAAUUCGAAAUCCUCAAUCCAUGCGACUACAGGAAUAUUGGAAUGGGGGACAAGUCUUUAUUCUAAUUGAUUAUGGCAGCACUCACAGUUUUGUGUCUGCAACAAAAGUCGAGGAACUUGGUGCUGAAGUAAACGGGCAGGAUGGCUUGAAAGUUAAUGUCGCCCACGGUGAGCAGCUGGACAGCCCAGGUAUAUGCAAGGGAAUCCCAAUUCUACUGGAUUCCCACUCUUUUUCCGUGAACUUAUUUGUUCUGCCACUAACCGAUUUUGAUGUGGUUUUGGGAGUUAACUGGCUUCGAACUUUGGGACCCAUUCUGUGGGAUUUUGCUGUCAUGAGAAUGUAUUUCUUUAAACAGGGAAUCUUGAUCGAAUUGCAAGGCAUAAUCCGUCCAAGCCGAUCACCAUUUUCUUCUCCGGUGAUCCUAGUACCAAAGGCAAACGGUUCUUGGCGUUUAUGUGUCGAUUACAGAGAAUUAAACGCCAAAACCAUUAAAGACAAAUUUCCAAUUCUUGUGAUAGAUGAGUUAUUAGAAGAACUAGGUGGUGUUAGAUACUUCACAAAAUUGGAUUUGCAUUCUGGUUAUUUUCAAGUGGGUAUGCGUCCUUUUGAUGUUGAGAAAACAGCUUUUCGGACGCAUUACAGCCACUUUGAAUUCCUGUCUUGGGCCAUUCUAGACCACCGUAUUAAAGGAGGAAGUCAGGAGGUUCUCAUCCACUGGAGUCAUUUUUCUCCUACCGAUGCUUCAUGGGAGAAGGUGCAGGCAUUCUCCGCCAAAUAUUCAGAUUUUCAGCUUGAGGACAAGCUUCCUUUGGGGGCGGGAAGUAAUGUUACCAAACCACUGCAAGUCUAUACCCAAUUCAGUCAUGGACCCAAGUCAAAGCAGCCACAUAUUGAGCCUCUAAAUUAGUCAAAUAAUUCAGUUAUUUUUUUAAAUAUCUUUUAGUUAAAUUGUUCCCUGUUUGUAGGAGGGUAUUCCUCCACUUUCUAUUUCAUGUUGUUAGUUGAGGAGGGUGUUUCUCCAUGUUGAAGUAGUGCUCCUUUGAUGUAGGAAGCACUUUCUAUUUCAUGUUAGUUGAGGAGAGUGUUCCUCCAUGUUGAAGUAGUGCUCCUUUAAUGUAGGAAGCAAUUAUACUUCAUUUCUGUAUUUAAGCAAUAACAUUAAUGAAGAGUAUAAGCUUCCAAAAUCAAUUAAGUCUUGAGCGCUUUAAGUCUCAGAGGUUCUAGGCUCCUUCUUUUAGAGCCUGAAUUGUUAAUGACUAGAAGUCGUAAAAAGACUCUUAACCCAAACACUCAAACUCCUGCCAUACCCUUAACCCAUCGACUCAUAACUAGAUCCACAACCCGGGACCAU
rnacentral:lncRNA from 1 species